rnacentral:miRNA from 1 species
CUGUGAGGUACCGGUACCUAA